UGGGGGAUAUUGGACAAUGGGGGAAACCCUGAUCCAGCGAUGCCGCGUGAGGGAAGAAGGUUUUCGGAUUGUAAACCUCUGUGGACAGGGACGAUAAUGACGGUACCUGUUUAGAAAGCCACGGCUAACUACGUGCCAGCAGCCGCGGUAAUACGUAGGUGGCGAGCGUUGUCCGGAAUUACUGGGUGUAAAGGGAGUGUAGGCGGGAAGGCAAGUCAGAAGUGAAAAUUAUGGGCUUAACCCAUAACCUGCUUUUGAAACUGUUUUUCUUGAGUGAGGCAGAGGCAAGCGGAAUUCCUAGUGUAGCGGUGAAAUGCGUAGAUAUUAGGAGGAACACCAGUGGCGAAGGCGGCUUGCUGGGCCUUUACUGACGCUGAGGCUCGAAAGCGUGGGGAGCAAACAGGAUUAGAUACCCUGGUAGUCCACGCCGUAAACGAUGAUCACUAGGUGUGGGGAGUUGAACCUUUCCGUGCCGGAGUUAACACAAUAAGUGAUCCACCUGGGGAGUACGACCGCAAGGUUGAAACUCAAAGGAAUUGACGGGGGCCCGCACAAGCAGUGGAGUAUGUGGUUUAAUUCGAAGCAACGCGAAGAACCUUACCAGGUCUUGACAUCGAGUGACGAUCCCAGAGAUGGGAUUUCCCUUCGGGGCACGAAGACAGGUGGUGCAUGGUUGUCGUCAGCUCGUGUCGUGAGAUGUUGGGUUAAGUCCCGCAACGAGCGCAACCCUUACUAUUAGUUGCUACGCAAGAGCACUCUAAUAGGACUGCCGUUGAUAAAACGGAGGAAGGUGGGGAUGACGUCAAAUCAUCAUGCCCUUUAUGACCUGGGCUACACACGUACUACAAUGGCGUUUAACAAAGAGAAGCGAAACCGCGAGGUUGAGCAAAUCCCCAAAAAACGUCUCAGUUCAGAUUGCAGGCUGCAACUCGCCUGCAUGAAGUCGGAAUUGCUAGUAAUCGUAGGUCAGCAUACUACGGUGAGUACGUUCCC
rnacentral:rRNA from 1 species